AAAGAAGGAAGGAAGGAAAGAAAGAAAGAAAGAAAGAAAGAAAGGAAAGAAAGAAAGAAAGAAAGAAAAAAAGGACAGACUAUCAUGGAUUCUUUUUCUUCUUCACUUUAAGAACUGAUUAAAAGACGUACGAAGGAAACAGAUGGCUCCAAUUCUGAUUGUGUCCAUUUGCCUUCUGGGAAAAGUGAAGUCAAGAGAGUUUUUAUUGAAAUUCAAGCUACUUUUUACAUCUGAAUAAAUUAGGAAGGCCCAGCGAGUACAUUAUCGUGUGAGAGACGGAUACUAAAUUCCCCUGUUUGAGCAGCAAUAAUCAGGGUUGACAGUACCUGAGACAUUUGGUAGUUUCCACAGCCUGCCUAAUCUAUUGUGAUGAGUCUUCAACUAUGAGAGCAUCUUGAGAGCCCGCACAAUAAUAAUAGUGAAUGACUAUUUGGACUGGAUUGUGAAUAAAAGACUGUACAUUUGUCUGUAAUGAGAAUUUCAUCGAAAAUGAAAAUACCAGAGCUGUCAUAUUUUUUAAUACUUCGAUUUGCACAUCCUUGACUGCUUUGGGGCAUAAGAAGAGAAAGUGCCGAGCAAUUUGUUGUCAGCUCUUGAAAUAAAUUAUCAUUUAAACACUUACUCUCCACAAAGGUUAUUAGCUUAGUAGCUCGUUCCUGGGGUUGGACCAUCAGUAGGGGAAAAAAUUCAAAAGACAUUAAACUACCCUUUCAGAAGCUGAAUAUUAGUUACUGUGGAAAUUGUUCUCUCGGUAGCUUAACAUAUUUUUCUGUAGCUCUCCAAUGCUGCAGAUUAGGCUGCAGCAACUAUUAAUAAAUACUGUCAUAUUUUACAGCUGUCAUGCAAAGCUGAAAAAAGGCUUCACUGUGAUUAGAUCCUGUUUACUGUAAUAUUUCCAGCUCAGACUCAGAAAAGCAGUUUUCCUAUAAAGGUAUUUUCCAUAAGUAGAAUAUUUCUCCAGAAAAUGACGAUUAAUUUUAAUGUAUUUUUAACUCCUUGGUGGCAGUGAAUUUGAGGUUGAAUUGACUUCACAGCCAGAGACAUUCCUCUCUAGAGACAAAUUAAGCUAAAAUGUCAAAAUUUCUCUCUUGGGUUGUCCUUCAUAUGCGGAAAUGGUGCUACUGUCAGGAGAUGUGCAUUGAGUAGCCCCCCACCCCUAUAGAAGGACAAAUCUGCACUGGUUUAUCCAACUUCUUUUACCCUGUCCCUCUUGUGACCAAUUGCAUUGUUUGCAAGACAGCUGGUAAGGAUGUUGGGUAGGAAUAUCACUUCAGUAGGCUAGCUAAAAAUUCUGCUUCCUGAGCUAAAAUGUCAUCAUACGAGCUAAAGAAACAGAUCUCUAGCCCCCCUACAAUGCAUUAGCUGUUUGAAAUGGUAUUCACAUCUCUGAAAAAAAAGGAGGUGACAGCUGGCAGGGUUGCUUUUGCUCUGACCUUCUAUUGCUUUUUAUCAAGCUCCUUGAGGGAAUUAACCCUCACUAAGCUGAAUAUCUAGUUUUUAAUGAACAGGUAGUUAAUUAACCCAUUAAGGGUUAUCUGGAGUAGUCUAUAAAUUCAGGGUUUGGGCCUGAAACAUCCUUGAAAAGGUUCUUCCAAAUGUUCCUUGGGGCAGGGAUGGACAGCGGUAUAGACCUGCAACUGUGACUUUGAGGUUUGUCCCUUGAAGCCCUUUAGACAACAAUUAAAGCCAAGGCAGGGUUGUUGUGAGAGUUUAACAAGAUAAUGCCUCUAAAGCCUUUAUCAUCAAGCUGAACACAGUAACACCCCAUGCUCAAUGACUUUUAGCUCUUAUUAUUUUAUUACCAUUAUGGAACAGUGGUCCUCAAUAGAGAGUGAGGGUAAUUUUCCCCCCUCAGAGGACAUUUGGCAAUGUCUAGGGACAUUUUAGUAGUGGGUAGAGGCCAGGAAUGCUGGUACACAUCCUACAAUGCACAGGACAGUAUCCUUCUCCACGCUCUCAACAAAAAAAUUAUCCAGCCCAAGAUGUCAACAGUGCCAAGGAAGCAGCAGGCCAAAUAAAUGGUUGCAGAAACUCCUUAAGGGGUUGGCAGUGAACCAAUCUAGCAUUUAUUGAGUGUCUCUUACUAUGCCUAGAUCAGUAAUAACAGCUCUGUUCAAUAAGUAGAGCCUUUGAUUCUGAAGAGCUUACAUCUUGGCCAGAGAGACAUAUUAAGAUUAAUGCACAGAAGCAAAUAUUAGUGCAAAACAGCAUAAAGCAAGAGCUAGAUUGUGUGGUAUGGAUGUGAAGUACCGUGGGAGUCCAAAGAAGAGAAAUUUCAUGAUAGGCAGGC
rnacentral:lncRNA from 1 species